AGCUUUGCACAGUGGCAGUAUCAUAGCCAAUGAGGUUUAUCUGAGGCGCAAUUAUUGCUAUUUAGCUCUUAAUUGAAGCAAUGAAGUAAAAAUAUAUGCAGUAUAAAUGGUCACCAUGUACAUUCAUAGGUAAUUUAUAUCGAGACAGUUAGUC
ensembl:snRNA U4 U4 spliceosomal RNA